rnacentral:rRNA from 1 species
GUUUUCAGUCUCUCGCCUCCACCAGCGCCUCCACGCCGCCGAGGAACGGAGCAGGAAGUGACGCCGGAGGAGGACGCUCUGCUCGUCGUCCGCCGCAUCUCGCGCCCGCCCAACCCGAACGCCCCGAAAGGCCACCAAAGCCGUAGCCUUCUUCUUCCUAGAGCUCCCGCAGCAUGUCGGCAUCCACCAGCGGCGGCGGGGGGCUCUCGCCGCAGGCGGCCGCGGCGCUCCAGGAGGGCGUCGGGCUGGUGUUCAUGCGGUGGACGGCGCUGCAGAUGGCGGUGGAGAACGGGUGGGGCGGCCGCGACUCCCGCGCCAAGGCCGACCGGCUCGCCGCCGACGUCCUCGCCUUCUUCACCACCUCCAAAGGUCCAUAUUAUUAUGAUGACUUGGAGGAGAUGAUGUUUGACAGCAUAUCCGAAUCCUUCAAUGCUGACUUUGAGGAUGGAAGUGUUGGGGAGGUUGCUGAACAAGUAUUGAUUAUGCAUGAAGAAUGCCUGCAAAACAACUAUUCGUCGAUUGAGAAGCUAAGGAACACACGUGCUCAAGGAAAUGCUGUUUCCCAAAGUAGAAUGAUGGUAACUGAUGAAGGCGAUGAUAGCUCGGAUGAUAGCUCGGACGAUGACGACGGCGAUGAACCAGCCAGCGCAGAUGAUAUGUCGGUGGAUGAGCCAAAGCCUCCCAAGCCUGCCCCUGACGCUGAUGGGUGGACUGUUGUGCCACCGAAGCGCGGCGGCCGGGGCAAGAAUUAAGCACAGAAGCAAACCCUGGCAACAAACUGCCAUCUGAGAGGCCGUUUUGGUCUGAAGGCUUUGAGGUGUGAUUAGCAAAACCUUGGCAACCACUUCCUGCCACUUGUGCCAUUUUGGUCUUGGAGGUUUUGAAGUGUUGCGCUUCACCUGUAUUACUUCGAUUUUGUCAGGAAUGUUGGUUGUGUAGCAUGUUUUCCUUGGUUACUCUCUUGGUGUUCAGACUUGGCGGCGAAAGAUCUGGAUUGUAAGCGGGUCUGACAUAUCCUUAUGCACAUUUUGAACUGAUGCUUAUCUGUAUCGUCGUAUAAUGCCCGUUUGAAUUCAGCUACCAUUUCAUGUUUCUUUUGCUCAAACAAUAUAAUGUGUAGGUUUUGUUUAUCUAAAAAUUGAACAUGUCAAGUAUCUAAAUUGCCUAUGUUAUUGUCCAGCCUGCUGCAUGCUGUCUAUGUGUAAUUCUGUAACUAUAGUUAGCAUGUACUCGCUCUAUAUCAAAAUGUAAGAUCUAGGAUGUAAUAAAUUACAUGGUAAUAGCCAGGGUAGCUUCACGUUAUGCCGCUCCGCAAAAAAACUAGAAUCUAGGGUGCAGCUCCCAAUUUUUUAUGAAGCUCUUCAAGGGUUUCUGUGGAUACCCCUUCGUUUCUCACCCCUCAACCAAUCAAAUAGAUCCUUUCUACCAGAUUUCUCAUUUUUGAAGCUGGAGCUAGAUGGAGGCCAAACAUUUUCUUUGAUAGUGCUAUAACUUCUGAAUGAGACUGCUCCAAAGUGACUUUGUGAAUCAGAACUGAUUUUGGUGAAGUGGAGCAGUUCCAAACAGGCCCUAACUCUCACGACUGAGAAAUACAAUAAAAUCUCUUGAAGAUCUCCCUGGUAUCAAUCCUUGCAAUAUCAAAGACCACAAGACUACAGUGAAGAGAUUGCAAUUGGACUGGGGCAGCAUAGGUAAUUCAGAAGUGAGGAAAUUCUGUUUUUACCCAGUCAACUUCCCAACCAAAUGUAAUAUUGGUUCCUGUAUUAGCAAUCCUUUUACCAUCUCUCCUUGAUGUAGUAAAC